rnacentral:rRNA from 1 species
AGUGAACGCUGGCGGUAGGCCUAACACAUGCAAGUCGAACGGCAGCACAGGAGAGCUUGCUCUCUGGGUGGCGAGUGGCGGACGGGUGAGGAAUACAUCGGAAUCUACUUUUUCGUGGGGGAUAACGUAGGGAAACUUACGCUAAUACCGCAUACGACCUACGGGUGAAAGCAGGGGAUCUUCGGACCUUGCGCGAUUGAAUGAGCCGAUGUCGGAGUAGCUAGUUGGCGGGGUAAAGGCCCACCAAGGCGACGAUCCGUAGCUGGUCUGAGAGGAUGAUCAGCCACACUGGAGCUGAGACACGGUCCAGACUCCUACGGGAGGCAGCAGUGGGGAAUAUUGGACAAUGGGCGCAAGCCUGAUCCAGCCAUACCGCGUGGGUGAAGAAGGCCUUCGGGUUGCAAAGCCCUUUUGUUGGGAAAGAAAUCCAGCUGGUUAAUACCCGGUUGGGAUGACGGUACCCAAAGAAUAAGCACCGGCUAACUUCGUGCCAGCAGCCGCCGUAA